AGAGUUUGAUUCUGGCUCAGGACGAACGCUGGCGGCGUGCUUAACACAUGCAAGUCGAACGGGCUUGUCUUCUGGCUUUUUGGUUGGGGGAUGGGUUAGUGGCGAACGGGUGAGUAACACGUGAGUAACCUGCCCCUCACUUCUGGAUAACCGCUUGAAAGGGUGGCUAAUACGGGGUGUUCCGGCCUGUCUGCAUGGGUGGGUUGGGAAAGAUUCACUGUUUUGGUGUUUUGGUGGGGGAUGGGCUCGCGGCCUAUCAGCUUGUUGGUGGGGUGAUGGCCUGCCAAGGCUUUGACGGGUAGCCGGCCUGAGAGGGUGUACGGCCACAUUGGGACUGAGAUACGGCCCAGACUCCUACGGGAGGCAGCAGUGGGGAAUAUUGCACAAUGGGCGGAAGCCUGAUGCAGCGACGCCGCGUGGGGGAUGACGGCCUUCGGGUUGUAAACUCCUUUCAGCCAUGACGAAGCGUUAUGUGACGGUAGUGGUAGAAGAAGCACCGGCUAACUACGUGCCAGCAGCCGCGGU
rnacentral:rRNA from 1 species